rnacentral:rRNA from 1 species
GACGAACGCUGGCGGCGCGCCUAACACAUGCAAGUCGAACGAGCGAGAGAGAGCUUGCUUUCUCGAGCGAGUGGCGAACGGGUGAGUAACGCGUGAGGAACCUGCCUCAAAGAGGGGGACAACAGUUGGAAACGACUGCUAAUACCGCAUAAGCCCACGACCCGGCAUCGGGUAGAGGGAAAAGGAGCAAUCCGCUUUGAGAUGGCCUCGCGUCCGAUUAGCUAGUUGGUGAGGUAACGGCCCACCAAGGCGACGAUCGGUAGCCGGACUGAGAGGUUGAACGGCCACAUUGGGACUGAGACACGGCCCAGACUCCUACGGGAGGCAGCAGUGGGGAAUAUUGCACAAUGGGGGAAAGCCUGAUGCAGCGACGCCGCGUGGAGGAAGAAGGUCUUCGGAUUGUAAACUCCUGUUGUUGAGGAAGAUAAUGACGGUACUCAAAAAGGAAGUGACGGCUAACUACGUG